GGCUGAGGGAGCUGGGGCUGUUUAGUCUGGGGAAGAGGAGGCUGAGGUGAGACCUUAUUACUCUCUUCCAGUACCUGAAAGGUGUUUACAGUGAGAGCGGGGUAGGUCUCUUCUCACUGGUGACGGGUGACAAGACAAGGGGAAAUGGCCUCAAGUUGCGCCAAGGCAAGUUUAGGUUGGACGUUAGGAAACACUUCUUUACAGAAAGGGUGGUUAAGCACUGGAAUAGGCUCCCCAGGGAGGUGGUUGAGUCACCAUCCCUGGAUGUGUUGAAGAGCCGUUUGGAUGUGGUGCUCAGAGAUAUGAUUUAGCGGAGGGUUGUUAGAGUUAGGGUACUAUGGUUAGGCCGUGGUUGGACUUGAUGAUCUUUGAGGUCCUUUCCAACCUGAGUAAUUCUAUGAUUCUAUGAUUCUAAUGAACUGACAAAGCAUUAAUGUCUCAUUUUGAAAUAUGAAAACAGAAUGAUUUAUCAGUCUUUUGAAGACAGCAAUUCAAUCAAUACAUAAAUAUCUAAAUUCACUGAGUUCCAUAUAAGUAUAUGUGAGAAGCUGAAAGAAAGCACUAUUUUCUCAGAGAUCAUUCAGUCACACCCUCUUGAGAUCAUGAUAGGCCAAUAAGAACUGUUGUGCUUGAGCGACGAGAAAAAGUUAACUCUUGGUUGAUGUUUGCAAGUCAGGCUGACUUUUGGGGUUGUUCUGAAGAAAAAGACCACUAUGGAAUCAACAUGCAUAUCCACCGGCCUGCCAGAUAGCAGGCACGUGGUUGGCUCAUGAUCAACUACCAAUCAUCUGACAGGGAGAGCAGGUGCUAUUGCCCUAAGCAAACAAAUGUGCACAAAAGCAGAAUGAAGAGGAUAAAAACUGAAGUCUGGAGGUAGGGAGUGCCCCUUCCACUGAACUGCAGCUGUGCUGGUCAACAGGAUGUCACUGACUGACCUACAGCCCCCUAUGAAUCAGAGUAGUCACUGAAUCCAUGGUGUUGACUCUUCCCACUUUAUGACCCACUCACUAGGAUUUCUCUCUUUUGUAUCACUAACUUCCCCAUCCUUCCUGCAUUCCCUAACUGCUUAGAAUUUGUAAUAAAUUGGUGUCAUGGUUUUGUAACUUUGCUAUUGGUAUUCCACAUCAUAACAUCAUGG
ensembl:lncRNA